UCCUCCCUCUUUCUUCGCGCUUAACACAUGCAAGUCGAACGGAAAGGCCUGCUUUCCCUUGUGGAUUGCGGGUACUCGAGUGGCGAACGGGUGAGUAACACGUGAGUGAUCUGCCCCCAACUUGGGUAUAAGCCUGGGAAACUGGGUCUAAUUCCCGAUAGGACUGCAGUGUGGUGCCUGUGGUGGAACACGAUUUUCUAGUGGUUGGGGAUGAGCUCGCGGCCUAUCAGCUUGUUGGUGGGGUAAUGGCCUACCAAGGCGGCGACGGGUAGCCGGCCUGAGAGGGUGGACGGCCACAGUGGGACUGAGAUACGGCCCAGACUCCGACGGGAGGCAGCAGUGGGGAAUAGUGCACAAGGGGCGGAAGCCUGAUGCAGCGACGCCGCGGGGGGGAUGACGGCCUUCGGGUUGUAAACUCCUUUCGACCGCGAGGAAGCCACCUGGUUGGAAGGGUGGUGACGGUAGUGGUAGAAGAAGCACCGGCUAACUACGUG
rnacentral:rRNA from 1 species